rnacentral:rRNA from 1 species
AUGCGUGUACCCAAAAACCAAGGGGGGGUGGGAUUCCGGGAUAUUCAUUGUUUCAACCUGUCAAUGUUGGAAAAACAAGCUUGGCGUAUUCUUGAGAAUCCAGAGUCCUUAUGUGCUACCGUGUUGAGAGCUAAGUAUUUUCCUGACAAUGAUUUGUUGAAUCCGAAGUUAAAGAAGGGAUCCUCUUUUACUUGGCAAAGUAUAAUGACGGGGUUAAUUGUCUAUAUCAUGGUUAGAUAUGGCGUGUUGGAAAUGGUCACAAUAUUGAUAUUUAGGAAGAUGCUUAGAUCCCAAAUAGUGCAAAUAGAAAAAUAA